rnacentral:rRNA from 1 species
AGGGUGUAAACGCUGCAGACUUGGUGUUGGGGGCCCUUUGGGGGCAUUCAGUGCCGGAGAGAAGUUGUUAAGUCUGCUACUUGGGAGUACGUCCGCAAGGAUGAAACUUAAAGGAAUUGGCGGGGGGAGCACCGCAACGGGAGGAGCGUGCGGUUUAAUUGGAUUCAACACCGUAAAAUUCACCAGGGAAGACUGUUACAUGAAGGCCGAGAUGAAGACUCUGCUAGAUUUUUCAGAGAGGUGGUGCAUGGCGUCAGUGACU